AGGACGAACGCUGGCGGCGUGCUUAACACAUGCAAGUCAAGGGGGCCCAGCAAUGGGCAACCGGCGAACGGGUGCGUAACACGUGAGCAACCUACCGAAAUGUGGGGGAUAGCCGGCCUAACGGCCGAGUAAUACCGCAUACGCUCUCGAUGAGGCAUUUCAUUGAGAGGAAACCUACGGGACAUUUCGAGGGGCUCGCGGCCUAUCAGCUAGUUGGAGAGGUAACGGCUCACCAAGGCAACGACGGGUAGCUGGUCUGAGAGGAUGGCCAGCCACAUUGGGACUGAGAUACGGCCCAGACUCCGUACGGGAGGCAGCAGUGGGAAUCGUUGCGCAAGUGGCCUAACGGCUGACGCAGCGACGCCGCGUGUAGGAUGAAGCGUCGUUCGGAGUAGUAAACUACGUAGUUCGGCCCGG
rnacentral:rRNA from 1 species